AGGAUCGCAAGAAGCGUAGAGACUCAGAUCCAGUGUGUGGACGCUGGGGGCGCCGCCAGGGCCCCCGGCCUCAGUUUCCUUUCCGCGCCGGAACCCCUUGGAGCUAGGCAAAGAGGCUAGCAGUGGCGCCCUUGCAACUGGCUGGAAGGUCCUGGCAGAACGGGUUCCUUCCGCUCGGAUGGGCGCCUAAAAUCAGUGAUGCGAGCGGAAAGUCCUGGUGCAGAGCACUGAGCACCCGGCAUCGAGGUUGGGCGGAACGAGAGUCUCCAUGGACUGCUUCGAAGCAAGAGGCUCACUCCACCCUCGACUAGAAAUAGAUGCUGCAAGUUGAGGCCAGGAAGCAAUGUGCAUAUAAGCCAGGCAUGCAGAGGCACCCGAAGAAGGGAGAUUACUCGUAACUGAAAGAAAAUUGGGAGAAGGCUUCUUAGUGGAGGUGGCAUUCAAGGAAUUUAUCUCCAAAAGAAGCAAAAUUUGUCUCUUAAGACCCACAGCUGGCCUACUCUUCAGCUUACAGCACAGAUGCUCAGACCUCCUACACUUCUGAUACCUCAGACUACCUCACCUCAUGGGUAUCACAUGUAUUGCUUUUACAAAGGGAUUCAGUCACAAUUCUGGUACAGUCUAAGACACUUCUACCUCGUGUCCUGUGACCAAGGCUGGGGCAGAUGCCCUCCCAGGGGAAAUGUACUUCAGGCUGGUAGGAGCAUCUGUUCCCACCCUUGACGAGUCAACAGCUGCUUAUGGGGCUAAAACAAGAACAUGGGCUCUGAGCUGCCUAGAAGUUUGAAUGUACUCAUGCUCUCAAAGGAGAGGUGUCAAAGAAGGAUGCACACCCAGUCUCCUAAUGGCAUAGUGCUAUUGCUUUCCAUGUCUGCUGCAGUGUGGUGACCACAGGCUGUGAAUGCACCACAGCUUCAGUUCGCAUGAAAUCCCUCCGUGCUCAUCUCUCUCCUCUAUCAGACAUGGGAGGAGACAGAAGAAGGGAGGGGGAAUAUUGCCCUGCAGUGCUGUAGGGUCCAAUGACACAAGGGGGCCAAAGCAUCUAGCACUGAGCCUGGCACACAGUAAGCACCAAGGAACACUGGCCACUGACCCCUCUGUCUGAAGCUAGGGGCACAGUCUACAGAUAAGAUGGGUGGCUCUCCGAACUGAUAGCCAGUCAUGGUGACACCUCACUGUAAUCCCACUUGGGGAGGCUGAAGCAGGAAGACCACAAUUCCACACCAUCCGGGGCAACCUAGCAAGCCCCUGUAUCAAAAAAAGAGCAGGGGAUGCAAGUCAGUGAGAAGGCCCCAGGGUCAAUGCCCCAGUACCACCACCACCAAAACAACAAAAACCCUGAGGCUCCCUCCCUGCCUCCCCAGCCACCCCAGACAAGCUCCUGUGCCCUCUCCUUACCUUCCCAGCCCAGCCUGCUAAAGUGAUGAAAAUAAAAGGGUUUGAUCAUGUUGGUAUAUUUAUAUGUAAAUACAAAAUUGUAUCACUGUAAGAUAUUGAAUACGAACAUUACAAUUAUUACUGAAUCUGACUCAGUCCAUUGAUGUUAAAUACAAAAUGAAAUGAUUGUAAAAAAUAAGAAUAUACACAUUCAAAGAGCUUAUUACAGUAUAAAAUUACUGAGGUCUGAUCAGCUGCCAACCUCAUUUCUAUGGGGGAGUUGGGGUUUCAGGGACUCUCUUGGGAGUAUAGAAUACUGGGGACUCCUGAUUCUAUCCCUGCAGUCAGGCUGGGUGGCUAGGAGCAGGCGGGUGACAGGAGACAGGGGACAGGGGACACUAGCUGGGAUAUUAUGCUUAUAAUUGACACAGAGUCCACCCAGUUAGGACCUGGCAGAUAAAAAAAUGGGUGUCUCAGACAGGACAUAGGAAAGGAACCUCUAACAAAUGAGAAAGGAGCCUGCUUAUCCUUUGGGAGGCAUUCUAUGGUGGGUUUCUCCCUCACUUUCUGCUCCCCUCCUUUCUUGCUGAGACUUCGUACCGAUUGUUUUUGGCUCUGCUUGCUUAGUGCAUUCAUCUCUACCCCAUCUUCCAUCCCUAGGGUGGAAGAGGAAAGGGAGGGCCUGGCUUCACGGUGGAGGUCUGGCCCCCAAAUCGGCAAAGUAAACAGAAAAGCUGUUAGAUAGGGGCCACCCAUGCUGAAGUACACCAGUGUCACCACAAACCAGCAUUCUUGGUUCCAGUGGGCAGAAUCCAGAGGGAAGUCAUCACUUGAGAUGAGAGCCUGGGUGGGAGCAAGGAUAGGUG